AACGUAGGGGGCGAGCGUUGUCCGGAAUUACUGGGCGUAAAGCGAGCGCAGGUGGUUUAAUAAGUCUGAUGUAAAAGGCAGUGGCUCAACCAUUGUGUGCAUUGGAAACUGUUAGACUUGAGUGCAGUAGAGGAGAGUGGAAUUCCAUGUGUAGCGGUGAAAUGCGUAGAUAUAUGGAGGAACACCGGUGGCGAAAGCGGCUCUCUGGACUGUAACUGACGCUGAGGUGCGAGAGCGUGGGGAGCAAACAGG
rnacentral:rRNA from 1 species